CACGUAGGGCGCAAGCGUUGUCCGGAAUUAUUGGGCGUAAAGAGCUCGUAGGCGGUUUGUUGCGUCGGCUGUGAAAUCCCGAGGCUCAACCUCGGGUCUGCAGUCGAUACGAGCAAACUAGAGUGUUGCAGGGGAGACUGGAAUUCCUGGUGUAGCGGUGAAAUGCGCAGAUAUCAGGAGGAACACCGGUGGCGAAGGCGGAUCUCUGGGCCGUAACUGACGCUGAGGAGCGAAAGCAUGGGGAGCGAACAGG
rnacentral:rRNA from 1 species